rnacentral:rRNA from 1 species
UACGUAGGGUGCGAGCGUUGUCCGGAAUUACUGGGCGUAAAGAGCUCGUAGGUGGUUUGUCGCGUUGUUCGUGAAAACUCACAACUCAAUUGUGGGCGUGCGGGCGAUACGGGCAGACUGGAGUACUGCAGGGGGAGACUGGAAUUCCUGGUGUAGCGGUGGAAUGCGCAGAUAUCAGGAGGAACACCGGUGGCGAAGGCGGGUCUCUGGGGCCGAUACUGACGCUGAGGAGCGAAAAGCGUGGGGGAGCGAAACAGG